rnacentral:lncRNA from 1 species
AUAGAUGAAUGGCAAAGUCGACCUCUGGGGAAUAUAUAUAUAAUAUUAUGAUAUAGCAUACAUAUACAUACAAACAUACACACGCACACACACACACACACACACACACACACACACACACACACAUAUAGAUAGAUAAAGAUAUAUAGAUAUCUACAUUUGUAUUCAUAUUAUCUCAAAUAUCUUUGCUAUGUCUCACUUAAGUAUCUAAUGAUUACUUUUAGCAUUUGUUGUCAUUUUUGUUGUUACCAAUACAAUAGAUAUUCUUGUUACAUGAUAUCGACGUUACCGUUUUGGAAACAAGACGUCUGACAUAACAAAAAUGAUAUCAGCAUAGUUUCUAAUAUAAUAACUUAUCACUAAACCGUGAUAUCUCCAUCAAAUAUCCCUUAAGAAAUAUAUAUUAUAUGUUUUGGUGAUAUUGUAUAUAUCUAAAAUGCGAUAGAAAAACUUUCGUGCUAUAUAUGUGUAAAUAUAUUUGUAUGUUUUCGUGUGUGUAUGUGUAUUCACUUCUUGGUAUGUGUGUGCAUGUGUGUGUCUGAGUGUGUUUGUGUGUGUGUGUGUGUCUGUGUGUGUGUGUAUGUGUGUGCGUUUGUGCGAGGGUGUCCUUAAUGUGAACACAAGUUUUUAGUGAAACAGAUGUAUCAAACAAUAUCAAAACACUAAAUUUUAAAUAAAUAACGUUAUCUAUACACUUAUCCACACAUACACGUAAACGUGAAAAAUAUAAAUAUGUGUAUAUGUAUAUUUUAAUUAAUAUUGAGCCACCGUAAGGCGGCGAGCUGGCAGAAUCGUUAGAACGCCGGGCCAAAUGCUGAGCGGUAUUUCGUCUGCCGUUACGUUCUGAGUUCAAAUUCCGCCGAGGUCGACUUUACCUUUCAUCCUUUCGGGGUCGAUUAAAUAAGUACCAGUUACGCACUGGGAUCAAUAUAAUUGACUUCAUCCGCUUGUCUGUCCUUAUUUGUCCUCUCUGUGUUUAGCCCCUUGUGGGUAAUAAAUAAAUAGGUAUUUCGUCUGCCGCUACGUUCUGAGUUCAAAGUCUACCGAGGUCGACUUUGCCUUUCAUCCUUUCGGGGUCGAUUAAAUAAAUGCCAGUUAAGUACUGGGAUCGAUAUUAUCGACUUAAACCGUUUUUCUGUCCUUGUUUAGCCCCUUCUGGGCAGUAAAGAAAUAGGUAUUUCGUGUCUUUACCUUCAGUGUUCACAUUCCAACGAAGUGGACUUUGCCUUUCAUCCUUUUGGGGUCGAGAAAUUAAGUACCAGUUGCAUAUUGGAAUCGAUCUAAUCGACUGACCCCUCUCCAAAAAUUUCGGGCCUUGUGCCUAGAGUAGAAAAUUAUAUUUAGCAACCGUAACAGUGUAAGUCAUGAUCCGAGCUUCGUGUGUUACCAUUUAAUACGAAUCAACGCAUGAAAUUCUUGGAUCUUGAGUAGCCCUGUUAUGUCUGCUACAUAUUAAUAAAAGUAUACAUAUAUAUGUAUGUAUAUAUAUAUAUAUAUAUAUAUAUAUAUAUAUAUAUAUAUAUAUAUAUAUAUAUAUAUAUAUAUAUAUAUAUCGGUUUAUGUGUAUCAAGUGGUCCUGGUUCAAUUUGGACAUUACUCUGACUAUGGCAGCUAUCAGAAUCUUUGAUAUUAUGGGCAUGUUCAUUGACAACAACGCUCCACGUGUAAUAGUCCAGUUGUUUGAGAUCUGGGGAAUUAGGGUGCCAAAUGUUAGGGGUUAUGUGACCAUGAAAAUAUUCAGCCAUCCAUUCCUGUGUUACUGGAGCCAUGUGUGAUAGUGCACAGUCUUACUAAAACACAUAUCACAUUCCAUUGCAUACACUGUCUAUCUAGGGCUUAAUAAUUAUUUCCAAGACUUCAAUGUAGGCGGCAGAGUUAACUAUUAGGCCUUAUGAAAAGAAGGUGUAUCACAUGUCCUUCAUUGCUGACUACCCCUAAAAACAUGACAAUUGCAGGAAUUGUUUUAUGCAUAACACUUGGAACUUCAAAAGUGUCAUUUUUUCUGUUAACUUUUUGAUCUUGUUCGAAGUUUUUCUCGUUUGAGGAAAACCAAAUCAAAUCUUUUGCUGGAUUUUUCAGUUUGUUUAAAAGUCUCUUUGAUCUGAUGUACUGCUUUAUUUAAACGUAAAUUUUUCUGAAAAAUUUACCUUUCCUCAUCAUAUAAGACUUAUAUCUGAUGUCUUCGCGGACAACAUUUCUGACUGUUCCUUCUAACACAUGGAGAUCUUUCGAAACUAAUCUCAUGGAGUUUCUAGGAUUGUAAUCAAUGGUCUGUUUAAUUUGCUGGAAAAAUGCAGGUGUUCUGAUGAUUUCAGAACGUUUUGAAUGUAUGUAUAGUUUUCUCUCAUAAAAGUUUCAGUAAAAGGUGGGAGAAUAUAGCAAAGAUGAUACGCGUAAAUGACGAAACCACUUUAAGUAUGAUCCUGUAAAUCCAAGAAAGAGAGAGAGAGAGAGAGAGCUUGGCUCUCAUGUGUUUCUUUCCCUACCUGAGGUUACCGUG